ensembl:lincRNA
GUAGAUGACAAACUGAUGAUAAGACAACAUUUUCAGCCCUAUAAUAUUAUUGUAGGUGCUGGAGGUAUAGUGGUAGACAGACCAGAUAGAGACUCACUGCAAUGUAAAGAAAGUGAACAGGAAUCUAAGAUGGAAAAAAUACAGUGGUUGGUGGGCCUUUUAAAGCAAAUUUGCCAUAUUAUUCUCAAGAGAGUUAUGAUUUUAAAAUGUACUGCAAAUACAUGGAGAAAAAUCUUCUUUAUUUCUAUUCAGUAUUCAGCACAAACCCGGUUUAAAGUUUGGCAGCAAAUUGAAUUUUAGAAACAAUGAGUUUCAGCCCUGUGCAUUAUGGGAAGUACAGCCCACUUGCUGAGUCCUCUGUUCUAAAGGGGAAUGCUAUGCACUUUGUAUGGCAGACCAGAGGCUCUUCAUUUCCGUGCAGAAAGUAGGUUUCGUAUCACAGGAAGCUCCUGCUUUUCUUUUUCUCCAAUGCUCCUUAGGUUUGUGCUCAGAAUGGAAGGGCCUCCCCUGCGCCGCGCCGCCCCUCUUUCCCACGGCCCCAGAAUCUGUGUCCUUUACUUCCUGGCAGUCAUCAGCUGCUGGGUUUUCCUUCUCGUCUUUUCUGAAAGCAGGAAACGCAGAGGAGGUGCCUUGGAGACUGAAGGCAGCUUGCGCAGUGGUCUGACCUCUGCUCCACCCCACUUGGCUCUCUGCCAAGGGCAGUGGGGCAGCCAUGUGACCAAACCUGAUCUUCAGAGGCAGGAGAAUCUCCCUGCCCCCACCCUGGCUACACUAGUACCCAGCUGCUGGAGUCAGUUUUGUUCCCUUAAAGAGUCUUCAAGACAAAAUUUCAGCAAGCAGGAACCUGACUGAUACUUCAAACCUGAAGAUGAAUUCAAUGCCUGUUCUUUAUGUAAACUUGUCUUCAGACAUGCACAGUAGCUGGGUUCACAGAUCAGCAGAGGUGAUAUGAAAAACACAUUGGGUCAAGCCUCUAUCAUGAGAUCAAGGAAAAUCAGUUUUCUCGCCAGUAAAAACAGAGUAGCAUGUUUUCAAAUCUCACAGCUCCCAGCGAGCCCUAGUGUCUCCCUUUGGUCUGUGAAGCAGUUAAACUCACCCUCUCCUGCUGUUGCGACAGGCUUUGUCUACGCCCUAGCAGCACAAAUACCAAAGGAAAAUGGGACCAGUAGCUGCUUUCCUUGCUUUGGAGAAAACAGACAUGAUUUCACAGCCAAAAAAAAAAAAAGACACCUGAUCUUUUUAGCCCCUUUUGUUUCUUCUCCCCAAGUUUUACAGCUCUUUUUAUCUGUUAAAGAAAAAAACAAAAAGUUGUACACACAUUUUCAAAAUGUGAUGCAUAAUACAACUUCAUACAUUUAGGAGGCUGACAGCUGCCCUCUGAGGCACAGCCUGACAGCCUAAAAUCCAGAAAUCAAUCAUUUAGAUAUAGUGAUGCUCUGCUAUUGCUCCUGGUAUGUACUGCAGCACCCAGGAAUCACUUAUUUGAGAUGUGCCAUCGCAACUCUGAUAGAUUAAAGCACCACAUCCAGGAAACAAUUGUAUUGCGGGGGGAGGGGAUGCUCUCAUAGAUCUGCCAUGUUACAGCCCAGAAUCCAGCAGCCAACCAGGCAAGUCUGUGCUGAAUCGGAGCUUCCAGAAACCUGUGAAGCAGCAGGAUGACAGCUCUGUUCUUCAACAGCCCAUUAUGAACUAAUUAGCAUACAUGAAUUGCAGAUUUGAAGCAUUAAAGUGAUGUACAAAUCAUUAAUUUUUUGUCAAAUCCAUGUCAUCCUUGUGUAUGCCUUCCUAUUUUAAUGUUGCAUGACAGUGAAAAGAGGUACAAUCCUCUGUAUAUAAAGAGGAGAGAUUUGGUGUAGCUGAUAUAAUGAGAUCUAUUUAAACACUAUGUAUUUUCUAGCUUUGAAUAUAUCUACUUGGAAAAAUGCUACACUUGUCCCAUUAGGGUUAAUUGUAAAAGGAUGUUAAUAUAUUCAAAACCCCAGGGGUGGUUCUACAUGUUGUCUGAGUGAAACAGGAGAUGUAAGACCAACUUCACAUUUAAGCUUGCUUUUUAAAAAGUCCUCUUUCUGAUGAAUAAAGAGAGCCAUAAAAUCUUUCUCACUGACUAUGGAAGGUGUCACUAUUCAGAAAGGGAGUUGAGCUUUGGGGUGGGUGAGGGCUCCAACACAGCAGAUCUAUUCUCAUUAACCCAAUGCCAAACUUAAUUUAUAAAGAUGUACAAUGCAGUGCAAUGGAAAAGGGGAAAUAACAUCAAAGCUUAUUUUUACACUGGAAAAGGCUUCUAAAUAUUAAUUUGUGGGUUUUUUGUAUUGUCUCUGUGUAUUUAAUUGCUAAAGCUAUUUGUACUUAAGCAAAUGCUUGGUGUAUCAUUUGAAUUUCUUUUUUUUCUUAUUACAGUGGAGUCACAAUGCUUAAUUUGUUAGUACUGUAAUAGUUGUC